rnacentral:rRNA from 1 species
CCUACGGGAGGCAGCAGUAGGGAAUAUUGCUCAAUGGGGGAAACCCUGAAGCAGCAACGCCGCGUGGAGGAUGAAGGUUUUCGGAUCGUAAACUCCUUUUGUUAGAGAAGAUAAUGACGGUAUGUAACGAAUAAGCACCGGCUAACUCCGUGCCAGCAGCCGCGGUAAUACGGAGGGUGCAAGCGUUACUCGGACUCACUGGGCGUAAAGAGCGCGCAGGCGGGCUAGAAAGGCAGAUGUGAAAUCCUAUGGCUUAACCAUAGGAAUGCAUUUGAAACUGUUAUUCUAGAGUAUGGGAGAGGAAGGUGGAAUUCUUGGUGUAGGGGUAAAAUCCGUAGAGAUCAAGAGGAAUACUCAUGGCGAAGGCGACCUGCUAGAACAUAACUGACGCUGAUGCGCGAAAGCGUGGGGAGCAAACAGGAUUAGAUACCCCUGUAGUC